CAAGUUUUCCCGCUUCUUCUCAGUUUGGGGCCGAAUCAACUGAACAAUAGAAUCUCGGAUCUCCAUUUUUGUGCCAUUCAAGUGCAUGUGACGAUUGAUCUGGACUCAAGCUGUAGGCCUACCAGUCAGAUGAGUAACUCAGUGGAGGAGGAGGACUUUGCGGAUAUCAGGGCCUACUUUUCCACAACAAAAUGGAACCGCCUCUGUAUGGCAGAGAAAAAAAGAUUCCUGCAGAUCAAGGAAAACCAUUUGGUUAUGUCGUCUCUUGGCCUGUCCUUUGUGGCUCCAGCCUUCAUGAGGAGAGAGAAGCCCGGCCAGGUGAGAGUCUGCUCACCUGAAGAGACAGACUCUGAGGAGGAGCAGCUCUGGACCUCUGGAUUGACCGGGUUAACAGCUAGUAGAGGAGGCCUACGUGGUGUGGCGUGGCCUGAAGCCAACACUCUGAAGCCAUUAUGUGUCACCAAAGCUGUAAAGAAAGAGCAUCUGAGAGAGAGAGAGAGAGAGCGAGAGAGACUUUCCUGAUCUACUCACUCACUCUCCACCUAGUCCUGGGUCUUCCCCGAGGUCUCCUCCCCACUGGACGUGCCUGAAACACCUCCCAAGGGAGGCGCCUAGUGGGCAUCCUUGCCAGAUGCCCGAAAUGAUGAACAACAUUCAUGACAUUCACAUUAACAUUAUGUUAACAAUGCUAUAAUAAGUCAAUAAGUCAUUUAAGUCACUCAUAUCUUAUAAUACUUAAGGAAACUGUCUCAUUAAAAUAUUUACUUGAUUAACAGAAGAACCUACAGACAGACAGACAGUCUGUCUGUAGGCCUACAGUUACCCUACAGCAGGGGUGCCCAACCUUUUUUGACCCAAGAUCUACUUUUCAAGUA